AUUAAUAGCGCUCUUUCCUCUUUCGGUACGAAAAAUAUACUUUGAAAAAUGUAUUAAUAAUUUUGCAAGGCGUGGUCCAAGCGUCCAUUAUCAGAGUAUUAUAUUCCUACAGAAGCGGAGAUCAUCAAUAGAAAAGGAGAACUUAGAUAUUUCUACCCAAGGAUAUCGGUUGCUCUUUAAUAAUUUGCCUGACUUCAAAAUAUAAAAGCAAAAUAUUAUAGGUGUAACGAUGGCAUUUAAGAAGACAAAACAAACUACUUUACCUUUAACGUUUGUCAACGAGUGCACUUCUUCAGUUCCCAGGAGCAGUUCCCAUAUUGUAUUUGACUUGAAUGAAGAACCGCUUCCAAUUCCAAGUUAUGAUGAAGCAAUGGCAAUGGUAUCUGUAAAUCAACAACAUAAAAAACUAACAAGCAUUGUGGAAAUUGAACAGGAAGAGGAAGUUGCAUUUCAACGUUCACCAUCACGUUGCGAAUGUAAAGCAUUUCAUUGGUAUUUUUAUAGUCUUAUGGCUUUUCUAUUCCUGGCAAUGGCGUUGAUCAUAAGGGAACUCUUACCAAAGAGUCAUUAAGUCUCAAAAAAUAAUAAAUUUUUGUCAAAAAUUUGUUUCAAUUGCAUUUUGGUGGAUUAAAAUUGAAUUUUAAAUCUUUGGA